ACCGUGAAACGCGCAACUGAGUCGGGUACCAUAAACGGAACCCUGGUCCGUGAUCCGUAUUUGGAUCCGAUUCGCCUCAGCAGCUCCAAUACUCCCCAGGCCUAUUGCCGCCGAAAACCCUGCCCAGAAACUAUGCUCUGCAAUUUACGUCUGUUCCCGGCCGGCGAAAAAAAUGCCAUCGGAGCAGCUACCACUUCCACGUGCUUCGAUUCUUCCGAAGCAAAGAUACUUGAUGCUUCUGAAUCCAUUAUAUCUUCUAAUAAUGACGCAGAUAAUGAACUAUAUCAUGUGCCUGAUGGAGGAACAAUUGCCCUGGAUUGGCUGAGAAAUUCUGAUGGUAAAUUUUGAUUAACUACCCAUAAUGUACUUGGCUCAGUCAUGGUUAUAGUCUCGCAGAGGGCGUCAUCUAUUUCUACUUGUUAUUGUAAAAUAAACACAGCAACCAGUGCACAAACCCAUGCUAUAUUAUAAUCUCAUGAUUAUAAUCAUUGAGAUUGAAGUCAUGUCACCAAAUUUUUACUUGAUGAUGUCAUCUAUUUCUAUUUGUUAUUGGUAAGAAAAGCAACACCCAUUGCAAACUGCUCCUAUGGCCUUAUCAGGAUUUGGGCAGGGCAUAAUGUAGUGUUGCGUACAGCCUUACUUCUACAUUCAAAGGGGUGUUUCU